UAAUCUUGACUGCUCCGAGUCAACAGGCCUAAAGCCCGGUCUGGGGCCAGGGCAUUUGACCGAUAGGGCGCGGCUGGAAACAGCCCCGCCUUCCGCGUUUGAAAAGGAGACAUCGUGAAGUCGUCA
rnacentral:ncRNA from 2 species